UCAAGAAUAUUAGUCAAUGCUCGCAAGAAUUACCUAGCCAACUGAAAUUCCGGCCAUCUAGGUGUUAUAGGGUGUUUAGACAUCUUACAGCUAGCAUCACAUAUGGGAUAAGCAACAGAAUACUCAGCUUAGGGCCAAUGUCCUUAUAAAUUGAGCGGAGUUCUAAUAGGUGAAAGCUUUUUAUCUACGUAAUGAUUGUACGCUGCGAAACGAAGGUGGAGAAAAGAUAAAUUUGGUGGCAAUGUUAACGCGAUAACCAUUCCGCCUUGUGAGUACGGUUGCAAAGCUGAGAAUCAAAAAAUGUUAGUCGG
rnacentral:rRNA from 1 species